rnacentral:rRNA from 1 species
CUUUAGGUGGGUCAAGGGAGUGUUUACACUCCCUGUCGCAAAGAUUAGCUUUGCUAAUCUGCGAAGUAAAUAUGGAGAGUUUGAUCCUGGCUCAGAGUGAACGCUGGCGGCGUGCCUAAUACAUGCAAGUCGAACGAUGAAGUCCUAGCUUGCUAGGAUGGAUUAGUGGCGCACGGGUGAGUAAUGUAUAGCUAAUCUGCCCCAUAGAGAGGAACAACACUUAGAAAUGAGUGCUAAUACCUCAUACUCCAAUUAUACAUAAGUUUAAUUGGGAAAUGUAGCUCUUAAUAAUAUAUAUCAAAGAUAAUUUAUAAAUAAAAAGUUAUAAAUAUAACAAUAAGCUUUUUUGAAGCUUUAUAUUAAUAAAGCGAAAAAAAAGCAAAGCAGUUAGAUUUAAUAAAUUUUUAUAGCAUUUAAAAAUACAAAAGACUUAAUUUUUAAAUCUAAAUAUAAAUUAUUACUAAUAUUUUUAAUAGUCAUUUAGAAAUAUCUUAAUAUAUAUUAUUAAGAGCUUUCGCUAUGGGAUGAGGCUAUAUUGUAUCAGCUAGUUGGUAAGGUAAUGGCUUACCAAGGCUAUGACGCAUAACUGGUCUGAGAGGAUGAUCAGUCACACUGGAACUGAGACACGGUCCAGACUCCUACGGGAGGCAGCAGUAGGGAAUAUUGCUCAAUGGGGGAAACCCUGAAGCAGCAACGCCGCGUGGAGGAUGACACUUUUCGGAGCGUAAACUCCUUUUCUUUGGGAAGAAUAAUGACGGUACCAAAGGAAUAAGCACCGGCUAACUCCGUGCCAGCAGCCGCGGUAAUACGGAGGGUGCAAGCGUUACUCGGAAUCACUGGGCGUAAAGGACGCGUAGGUGGAUAGAUAAGUCUCUUGUGAAAUCUAGUAGCUUAACUACUAAACUGCUUGGGAAACUAUCUAUCUAGAGUAAGGGAGAGGCAGAUGGAAUUCUUGGUGUAGGGGUAAAAUCCGUAGAUAUCAAGAGGAAUACUUAUUGCGAAGGCGAUCUGCUAGAACUUAACUGACACUAAUGCGUGAAAGCGUGGGGAGCAAACAGGAUUAGAUACCCUGGUAGUCCACGCCCUAAACGAUGUAUACUGGUUGUUGCUGUGCUAGUCAUGGCAGUAAUCCACCUAACGGAUUAAGUAUACCGCCUGGGGAGUACGGUCGCAAGAUUAAAACUCAAAGGAAUAGACGGGGACCCGCACAAGCGGUGGAGCAUGUGGUUUAAUUCGAAGAUACGCGAAGAACCUUACCCGGACUUGAUAUCUAACAAAUCAUCUAGAGAUAGAAGAGUGUCUGCUUGCAGAAAUGUUAAGACAGGUGCUGCACGGCUGUCGUCAGCUCGUGUCGUGAGAUGUUGGGUUAAGUCCCGCAACGAGCGCAACCCACGUGUUUAGUUGCUAACAGUUAGGCUGAGCACUCUAAACAGACUGCCUUCGUAAGGAGGAGGAAGGUGUGGACGACGUCAAGUCAUCAUGGCCCUUAUGUCCGGGGCGACACACGUGCUACAAUGGCAUAUACAAUAAGACGCAAUAUCGCGAGAUGGAGCAAAUCUAUAAAAUAUGUCCCAGUUCGGAUUGGAGUCUGCAACUCGACUCCAUGAAGCCGGAAUCGCUAGUAAUCGUAGAUCAGCCAUGCUACGGUGAAUACGUUCCCGGGUCUUGUACUCACCGCCCGUCACACCAUGGGAGUUGAUUUCACUCGAAGCCCAAAUACCAAAUUGGUUAUGGUCCACAGUGGAAUCAGCGACUGGGGUGAAGUCGUAACAAGGUAACCGUAGGAGAACCUGCGGUUGGAUCACCUCCUUUCUA